rnacentral:rRNA from 1 species
GGUGAGUAACACGUUGGGUAACCUGCCUGUAAGACUGGGAUAACUCCGGGAAACCGGGGCUAAUACCGGAUGGUUGUCUGAACCGCAUGGUUCAGACAUAAAAGGUGGCUUCGGCUACCACUUACAGAUGGACCCGCGGCGCAUUAGCUAGUUGGUGAGGUAACGGCUCACCAAGGCGACGAUGCGUAGCCGACCUGAGAGGGUGAUCGGCCACACUGGGACUGAGACACGGCCCAGACUCCUACGGGAGGCAGCAGUAGGGAAUCUUCCGCAAUGGACGAAAGUCUGACGGAGCAACGCCGCGUGAGUGAUGAAGGUUUUCGGAUCGUAAAGCUCUGUUGUUAGGGAAGAACAAGUGCCGUUCAAAUAGGGCGGCACCUUGACGGUACCUAACCAGAAAGCCACGGCUAACUACGUGCCAGCAGCCGCGGUAAUACGUAGGUGGCAAGCGUUGUCCGGAAUUAUUGGGCGUAAAGGGCUCGCAGGCGGUUUCUUAAGUCUGAUGUGAAAGCCCCCGGCUCAACCGGGGAGGGUCAUUGGAAACUGGGGAACUUGAGUGCAGAAGAGGAGAGUGGAAUUCCACGUGUAGCGGUGAAAUGCGUAGAGAUGUGGAGGAACACCAGUGGCGAAGGCGACUCUCUGGUCUGUAACUGACGCUGAGGAGCGAAAGCGUGGGGAGCGAACAGGAUUAGAUACCCUGGUAGUCCACGCCGUAAACGAUGAGUGCUAAGUGUUAGGGGGUUUCCGCCCCUUAGUGCUGCAGCUAACGCAUUAAGCACUCCGCCUGGGGAGUACGGUCGCAAGACUGAAACUCAAAGGAAUUGACGGGGGCCCGCACAAGCGGUGGAGCAUGUGGUUUAAUUCGAAGCAACGCGAAGAACCUUACCAGGUCUUGACAUCCUCUGACAAUCCUAGAGAUAGGACGUCCCCUUCGGGGGCAGAGUGACAGGUGGUGCAUGGUUGUCGUCAGCUCGUGUCGUGAGAUGUUGGGUUAAGUCCCGCAACGAGCGCAACCCUUGAUCUUAGUUGCCAGCAUUCAGUUGGGCACUCUAAGGUGACUGCCGGUGACAAACCGGAGGAAGGUGGGGAUGACGUCAAAUCAUCAUGCCCCUUAUGACCUGGGCUACACACGUGCUACAAUGGACAGAACAAAGGGCAGCGAAACCGCGAGGUUAAGCCAAUCCCACAAAUCUGUUCUCAGUUCGGAUCGCAGUCUGCAACUCGA